rnacentral:rRNA from 1 species
UGAGGAAUAUUGGUCAAUGGGCGAGAGCCUGAACCAGCCAAGUAGCGUGCAGGAUGACGGCCCUAUGGGUUGUAAACUGCUUUUAUGUGGGGAUAAAGUGCGUGACGUGUCAUGCAUUGCAGGUACCACAUGAAUAAGGACCGGCUAAAUACGUGCCAGCAGCCGCGGUAAUACGUAUGGAGCGAGCGUUGUCCGGAAUUAUUGGGCGUAAAGGGUGCGCAGGCGGCUUUACAAGUUGGAUGUGAAAUAUUGUGGCUCAACCACAAACGUGCAUCCAAAACUGCAAAGCUUGAGUUAAGGGGAGGUAAGUGGAAUUCCUGGUGUGGCGGUGGAAUGCGUAGAUAUCAGGAGGAAUACCGGUGGCGAAGGCGACUUACUGGACUUAAACUGACGCUCAGGCACGAAAGCGUGGGGAGCAAACAGG